rnacentral:rRNA from 1 species
GUGUCAGCAGCCGCGGUAAUACGUAGGGUGCGAGCGUUGUCCGGAAUUACUGGGCGUAAAGAGCUCGUAGGCGGUUUGUCACGUCGUCUGUGAAAUCCUAGGGCUUAACCCUGGACGUGCAGGCGAUACGGGCUGACUUGAGUACUACAGGGGAGACUGGAAUUUCUGGUGUAGCGGUGGAAUGCACAGAUAUCAGGAAGAACACCGAUGGCGAAGGCAGGUCUCUGGGUAGUAACUGACGCUGAGGAGCGAAAGCAUGGGUAGCGAACAGGAUUAGAAACCCUCGUAGUCC